UAUUGGACAAUGGGCGCAAGCCUGAUCCAGCCAUGCCGCGUGAGUGAUGAAGGCCCUAGGGUUGUAAAGCUCUUUUGUGCGGGAAGAUAAUGACGGUACCGCAAGAAUAAGCCCCGGCUAACUUCGUGCCAGCAGCCGCGGUAAUACGAAGGGGGCUAGCGUUGCUCGGAAUCACUGGGCGUAAAGGGUGCGUAGGCGGGUCUUUAAGUCAGGGGUGAAAUCCUGGAGCUCAACUCCAGAACUGCCUUUGAUACUGAAGAUCUUGAGUUCGGGAGAGGUGAGUGGGACUGCGAGUGUAGAGGUGAAAUUCGUAGAUAUUCGCAAGAACACCAGUGGCGAAGGCGGCUCACUGGCCCGAUACUGACGCUGAGCACGAAG
rnacentral:rRNA from 1 species